rnacentral:lncRNA from 1 species
UUCAACAGGCCUGUUAUGACUCUUCAAAAGCUGCACCUGCAGUGCCAACGCCAUCCAUUCCCAAACAGCUACUGCCGAUAAAAGAAACAAGGGUCGUUGGUCAACCCAACACUGGUGAAGCUCAGCCAGUAUCCAAGUCCAAAAGGGAUGUGCAAGUUUCAGCUGUUUCAGCUGCACCUCCCGCAACUCAAGCUCCAAAAUCGUCUGUACACCCUGCGUCUGGGAUGUCCAUGCAAAUGCAAUUUUUUAUGACUCUUCAAAAGCUGCACCUGCAGUGCCAACGCCAUCCAUUCCCAAACAGCUACUGCCGAUAAAAGAAACAAGGGUCGUUGGUCAACCCAACACUGGUGAAGCUCAGCCAGUAUCCAAGUCCAAAAGGGAUGUGCAAGUUUCAGCUGUUUCAGCUGCACCUCCCGCAACUCAAGCUCCAAAAUCGUCUGUACACCCUGCGUCUGGGAUGUCCAUGCAAAUGCAAUUUCACCAGUCACAGGUUCCAGUU